UACUCUCAGCAACGGAUAUCUAGGCUCUCACAACGAUGAAGAACGCAGCGAAAUGCGAUACGUGAUGUGAAUUGCAGAAUUCCGUGAAUCAUCGAAGUUUUUGAACGCAACUUGAAAAGGACUUUGAAAAGAGAGUUA
rnacentral:rRNA from 1 species